GUAUGUAGCUCAGUGGUAGAGCGCUUGCCUAGCAUGUGUGAAGCACUGGGUUUGAUCCUCAGCACCACA
rnacentral:tRNA from 1 species